rnacentral:rRNA from 1 species
UACGUAGGGGGCAAGCGUUGUCCGGAAUCAUUGGGCGUAAAGAGCGUGUAGGCGGCUCGAUAAGUCUGCUGUGAAAGUCCAGGGCUCAACCCUGGAAGGCCGGUGGAAACUGUCGGGCUAGAGUUCGGAAGAGGCGAGUGGAAUUCCCGGUGUAGCGGUGAAAUGCGCAGAUAUCGGGGAGGAACACCAAUGGCGAAGGCAGCUCGCUGGGACGUUACUGACGCUGAGACGCGAAAGCGUGGGGAGCAAACAGG